UGGUGGCUCACGCCUGUAAUCCCAGCACUUUGGGAGGCCGAGGUGGGCGGGUCACAAGGUCAGGAGAUCAAGAACAUCCUGGCUAACACGGUGAAACCCCCAUCUCUGCUAAAAAUACAAAAAUCAGCUGGGCGUGGUGGCGCGUGCCUGUAGUCCCAGCUACUCGGGAGGCUGAGGCAGGAGAAUCGCUUGAACCAGGGAGUCGGAGGUUGCAGUGAACCGAGAUCACACCACUGCACUCCAGCCUGGCGACAGAGAGACUCUGUCUCAAAUAAAUAAAUAAAACAUCUUAAAGAAAUAGAAAAUACUAGUAGAGUAUUCACUCUGAUUUCAGAAUCAAUUUGUGGAAAUUCAGUUUCACAAGAAUGAAAAAAGCCCCCUAAGCAAGGUAGCUUUUUUUUUUUUUUUUAAAGAUGGGGUCUCACUAUGUUUUCCAGACUGAUCUCAAACUCCUGGGCUCAAGCAAUCCUCCUCCCUCAGCCUCCUGAGUGGCUGGGACUACAGGUACACAUCACCACCACCCUGCUAGGAUAUGGUAGCUUUUUAACCAAAACACACCACCAUGCAAUGGAGAGCAUGUAACUUGUUAUUUGGUCAUACAAAUACAUCAGAAUAAAUUCCACCUCUCUUGUGGAGCCCUUUUUCCUACAUCUGCACAGAAACUGGCACUAGCAGGACUGCAACCGAGGCAGACUCGAGAAUUAGCAGACUCUGGCUCAGGCAGGACAAUAGAGCAGCGGGAAAUUUCUUUCAAGGGCUUUUGUUGCUGUUGUUGAGAUGGAAUCUUGCUGUGUCACCCAGGCUGGAGUGCAGUGGUGCUGUCUCGGCUCACUGCAAUCUCCGCCUCCCAGGUUUAAACGAUUCUCCUGCCUCAGCCUCUCAAGUAGCUGCGAUUACAGGCAUGUGCCACCAUGCCCAGCUAAUUUUUGCAUUUUUGGUAGAGAUGGGGUUUCACUAUGUUGCUCAGGGAGGUCUCGAAACUCCUGACCUCAGGUGAUCCGCCCACCUCGGCCUCCCAAAGUGUUGAGAUUACAGGCAUGAGCCACUGCGCCCGGCUUGAGACCUUGAGGGGCUUUUUAACCAAGAGAUGGUGUAGGGACAGAAGCCAGCAAGAAGAACAUGGUGGACUCUCUGUGAGGCCCCAAACCCCAAAUCAUGAGCCUCCGCCCCCUGAAAGUAUUCCAGGAUCUCUGAGGGAGGUUUUGGGAGGGGGCCAAGGUCCUGCAAUUGGGUGGGUGGGGCUCCAAGCCAUUGUUCUUUGCACAUUCAUGCCAAUGUGACCUAAUUGGCUAAGCACAGGCUGGAGAAGCUAGAUAAACCUAUUUAAAUUCAGAGCCAAAAGACACUCAAGGAUGUUUUCUGAGGGGGUGUGAGGGUUGGAAAAUCAUCCUAUAUUUGAUUUAUCUCCCACCUCAUGUCCUGAGUCAAUUCCUUAGUCUUAGAUGAGGGAGACGACUUGGGAGUCAUCCUUGUUUUUGAUGAGCUAUAUAACCCUAUGGCCAGCAGAGGGAAGUACUGCAUUUCAGAGCGACAAUUUGAGAUCUAUGAAAGAAUUUCAAUCGAGAAUAAGAGGCCGGGCGCGGUGGCUCACGCCUGUAAUCCCAGCUCUCAGGGAGGCUAAGAGGCGGGAGGAUAGCUUGAGCCCAGGAGUUCGAGACCUGCCUGGGCAAUAUAGCGAGACCCCGUUCUCCAGAAAAAGGAAAAAAAAAAACAAAAGACAAAAAAAAAAUAAGCGUAACUUCCCUCAAAGCAACAACCCCCCCCCCCCUUUUCAUAUUCUUGCCUGGAAGAAAGGCCUUGCUUUCCUCAGCUUCUUA
rnacentral:lncRNA from 1 species